AGUUCCAAAAUUACAAAUGGGGUUUUCUGCCAGUGAAUAUAAAUGACAACCACUGGGUGUUAAUGGUGGCAGACCUUGACACAAGAACCUUGUCCAUACUGGACUCACUAGGAUGGAAGAACCGUCUUCUUCCAGGCUUUUGGUUGAAGUUCGCCAAGCGCAUAGAUCAGGACAUUCCAGAUGACCUGCCAAUCGAGUGGUUAACGGGGAGCCUGGUGUCCGCUCGGCAGCAGCGCUUGGGGCGCUUUUGUUAUGCUGACAGACAACAUAUGAGACAGACACUCCAGAAACAUACUACAAGAGAAGUUUAA